CUGGCUAGGGCUCCACCCCCAUGGACCUAGCUGAGGACAGGCACUCCUGCCUUCCACCUAAAUUUUGCAUUUCCCGAGACACCUUGGCCCGCCAUUCCCCCGUCCUGUGCCUGUAAAAACUCCAGGCCCUAGAAGGCACACACGCACAAGUGGCUGGACUUCGUGAGGAAUUCAUAGGGGAAGAAGAUGCAAGUGGCUGGUCAUGGAGAGGACUUUUUGACGAGCGCCGGCAAAAGAGCACAGCGAAGAAAUCCCAGGAUACGGAAAGCCCUCUGUACUUGCAACAAGGUAUGAGCCUUGCAAGAAGACAUACAUAUUUUGCUGAUUGCCAAGGGGAUAAUGCAUUGGGUAUAAGAAGAAGGAAAGUAGAGGAACCAAUUAAGAAAUAUUUACUACAAUUAAGAAGAGAUGAUAAUAACUUCGACCAAGGUGGAGGCUAUGAAGAUGGAGCAAUGCGAAUACAUGGAGACAUGUUUUUGAUGUAGACUCAGCAAGAAAUUCUAAUAUAUUAGAUUUUAUGUUUUGGGAGAAAAAGAGACAUCUCCAAGAUUAUGGCUUGAAUAGAUUGGGACUAAUAGUGAAACUUGAGAGUGAUCACAUAUGGAGAUGAAAGAUUGAAAGACCUCUCGCUGAACAUAAUAUAGAAGGUCUAAAAUACUCUCAAGUCCCCUCCAUCUCAAAAUGACAGCAGUAACAGUGAAAACUAAACAUAGCUGUACCAAGGGCCUGUGUAUCUUACUUCGCCCUCCUUGUGAGUUGCCACUUCCUGUUCAUCCUCCUAUCAACGUGAUAUAAACACCAAAAUAGACCAAAGUAAUUAUCUGGGGAAUGUCCAGAGGGUGUUUACCUUCAGAAAAUUAACAGCUUUGAGACUAAAUCGAUGACCCAGCAAGAAGGUUCUCAUCAGUGGCUGACCAGAUGCCAGAAACAUGCCAUUGGAGUGCCCAGCCUUCAGAACAAUUUUGUCUUCUACCUGAGGAAGAGAGUGAGACAGAGUAACAUAUACAUAGAACAACAAGGAUGGUCGUGUGAAAGAAAAAUCAAAGGAACAGUGUAAUAGAAAGACAGUCGAGCUGGCACUCCAACUGCUGGAGCUGCUCCUGUCUAUCCUGUCAAUACCCAGCUGUGUUAUGCCUUCUCACUCCAUCAAAACAUAAAAUAAAUAAAAGAAAAACGUAUGUGCUUGUAAUGAACAGACUCUAAAAGGGCCUUCAAUUAUACUCACCUUUUUGUAUUCAUAUUCUUGUGUAUUCCCCUUCCUUUGAGCAUGAGUGGGACCUGUAACUUGCUUCCAACCAGUGGGACAUGGCAAAAGUAAUGAGAUGUCACUUAUACAGUUACAUUAUAUAAGAAAUAGUAACUGUCUUGCAAAGAGAUUCCCUCCCUUGCUGGCUUGGCUAAAGCAGGUGACAAUGUUGAGGAGUUCCGCAUGGCAAGAAACUGAGAGUAGCCUCCAGGUAGUAGGCAGAAAGAAAGUGAGGCCCUCAAUCUAACAGCCUUUCAGGAAUUAAAUUCUGCCAACAACCACAUGAACUUAGAAAUAAAUCUUUCCCCGUUCAGACCUUCAGAUGAGAACUCAGCC
rnacentral:lncRNA from 10 species